UACGGGGGGAGCAAGCGUUGUUCGGAUUUACUGGGCGUAAAGGGCUCGUAGGUGGCCAACUAAGUCAGACGUGAAAUCCCUCGGCUUAACCGGGGAACUGCGUCUGAUACUGGAUGGCUUGAGUUUGGGAGAGGGAUGCGGAAUUCCAGGUGUAGCGGUGAAAUGCGUAGAUAUCUGGAGGAACACCGGUGGCGAAGGCGGCAUCCUGGACCGGCAUUGACGCUGAGGAGCGAAAGCCAGGGGAGCAAACGGG
rnacentral:rRNA from 1 species